CGGGGGGGAAGGGGGAAUGGACGCUGGCGGCAGGCCUAACACAUGCAAGUCCGAGCGGUAGCACAGAGAGCUUGCUCUCGGGUGACGAGCGGCGGACGGGUGAGUAAUGUCUGGGAAACUGCCUGAUGGAGGGGGAUAACUACUGGAAACGGUAGCUAAUACCGCAUAAUGUCGCAAGACCAAAGUGGGGGACCUUCGGGCCUCAUGCCAUCAGAUGUGCCCAGAUGGGAUUAGCUAGUAGGUGGGGUAACGGCUCACCUAGGCGACGAUCCCUAGCUGGUCUGAGAGGAUGACCAGCCACACUGGAACUGAGACACGGUCCAGACUCCUACGGGAGGCAGCAGUGGGGAAUAUUGCACAAUGGGCGCAAGCCUGAUGCAGCCAUGCCGCGUGUGUGAAGAAGGCCUUCGGGUUGUAAAGCACUUUCAGCGGGGAGGAAGGCGUUAAGGUUAAUAACCUCGGCGAUUGACGUUACCCGCAGAAGAAGCACCGGCUAACUCCGUGCCAGUCCCGCGCGAGAGAAAAAA
rnacentral:rRNA from 1 species